GUUAUAUAAAAUUUUUAAACGAAAUGCAAAAUUACAAACAUUAAAUGCACGUUGAAAAGCAGUGGCUACGUAAAUCAAUCAUAUAAAGCAAUGUAUUCUAUGUCAGAUUUUUUACACCAUCCUCGGUGCACAAAAAAUUUCUCUACUACGUUUCGGUGCACAUGCAAUAGCUUGAUGUUGGUAAAUAGUUGAUCUGAACUAGUGAACUGCGGGU
rnacentral:lncRNA from 1 species